CACGUAGGGGGGCAAGCGUUGUCCGGAUUUAUUGGGCGUAAAGAGCGUGUAGGCGGCCAGGUAGGUCCGUUGUGAAAACUCGAGGCUCAACCUCGAGACGUCGGCGGAAACCAUCUGGCUAGAGUCCGGAAGAGGAGAGUGGAAUUCCCCGGUGUAGCGGUGAAAUGCGCAGAUAUCGGGAAGAACACCCGUGGCGAAGGCGGCUCUCUGGGACGGUACUGACGCUGAGGAGCGAAAGCGUGGGGAGCGAACAGG
rnacentral:rRNA from 1 species